ACUCAAAUGAAUUGACGGGGGCCCGCACAAGCGGUGGAGCAUGUGGUUUAAUUCGACGCAACGCGCAGAACCUUACCAGCCCUUGACAUGGCGGCCGCGCCCGGGCGAGAGCCCGGGGUCCCUUCGGGGGGCCGUCACAGGUGCUGCAUGGCUGUCGUCAGCUCGUGUCGUGAGAUGUUGGGUUAAGUCCCGCAACGAGCGCAACCCUUAUCUCCAGUUGCCAGCGGGUUGGGCCGGGCACUCUGGAGAGACCGCCGGUGACAAGCCGGAGGAAGGUGGGGAUGACGUCAAGUCCUCAUGGCCCUUAUGGGCUGGGCUACACACGUGCUACAAUGGCGGUGACAGUGGGCAGCGAAGGGGCGACCCGGAGCCAACCCCCAAAAGCCGUCUCAGUUCGGAUCGCAGGCUGCAACUCGCCUGCGUGAAGGUGGAAUCGCUAGUAAUCGCGGAUCAGCACGCCGCGGUGAAUACGUUCCCGGGCCUUGUACACACCGCCCGU
rnacentral:rRNA from 1 species